rnacentral:tRNA from 1 species
AAAAUUUUAAGUUAAAUUAAACUAUAAACCUUCAAAGUUUAAAAUAUAAAAUUUAUAAAUUUUA